ensembl:lncRNA
AAAUAAAGACAUUGCAAGCUGUUCUACAUUAUGAUUUUAUUUGACCAUUUUAUUAGAAUCUCCCCUCUUAAAAGCCUCUUUGCGGUCAUUGUGGUGUGGGUUUCUUCCAUAGGAGUUUAAAUACCUGAAUGCAUAUCAGAAAUAUCAUCAUCCAUAUUCAUGGAACUCGCUGCAAUCUGCUCUAAUAAGGCUGGUAUGAAACCUCCACCUUAGUGCACACGUUUGGUGUGGAGUUCAUUGUAUUCAUCAGCGAACUGAAAUUUAUAGGAUUUUUCUUGGCCCAGUAAUCCCGCUCUGGAUUUGGCUCCAGAUGUCUUUCGCUGUUUUCCGGUUGUAGUUAAUCUUUUUGCGUUUUCAUGAGAACAAUAUAUUAGUCUUCUUCUAAAAAAAAAAAAAAACCAACAAUGAAUGAAACUCUAAUUACACCGAGAAACGAGCUGCGUUUCCAUGAGUCAAGGAUACCUUAUACCUACAAAGCACAAAUGCAAAGUCAAGUCCUUAAAUUCCCGCUUAAGGAAAACAAGUUCAACUCCCAGGCGCGGGGCAUAAAAGUGAUUUUUUUUGUCCUUCUCCUCCCCACCCCUGUUUGCACAAUGACUUUUUUCUCGCAGUGUCCGAAAGCAACACACUGAUGUCGAGGACAAAGGAAUCUCGAAGAUGCCGUUGGUGAUGUGGUGCAUGUAUUUGGUGUAAAUACAUUUCGGAAGGCGGUUUUUUAAUUAUUAUUAAUUGGGGGGGUAUUAUGUUUGAGGUUUCCAAGCUGGAUGCUCUCCUGCUUUCUGAUAUGGAACGAUGGGAUUGUGCAUAUGGAAGAGGGCGGGGGGUGGGACAAAGAAGUGCGGGGAGGGGGGGAAGAACCCCCCCAGUAGCGAAGAAACAGCACAUUAUAUUCCCAUCCAUAGAGCGUGUUCUUGUAAAAUUCUCAUCCUUGCUUUUAAAUACAACCCUGUUGAAUGAAAACCCCUUUGAUGGUGUCUUCUGAUUUUAUUUGACAACGGUAGGGGGAAAAAAAAUGAUAAACCCACAAAAACGCUCUUCGUUUGCACCCAUUCAACCCGCCCUCCGUACUCCCCCCGCGCAAUUAAACACAAACCAACUCCAAGCUUUCGUGAUAGACCCGUGGUUGCACCACUAUAUGAUCUUGAAAGGAUGUUCAGAGGCAUGUUUCUCAUUAAAAGAGUGGGAAAGGAGGGAAAAAGGGGGCUUGGAGGAUGGUAGACAGCUUCUUUAGUUCCUUAUAUUUAUUUUUGCAAAGCCCGAGAACUGAAAGGACGCUUGUCCCCGGCCUAAAAUCUCUCCUAAGCCUUAUAUUCAAUAAACUAGGCGUAAAAACUGGGGGGGUUUUGGUGGGUUGCAAAGUGAAAUAGGCGAGAUGAAGGUAGGAGCCAUCUUCCUGGCAGACGUAGCUGCACGCCGGGAGCGAGGAAGGGGCUUAUCCUCCAGCACCCAAAAAAAAGAGGGAAAAAAGCACCUUUAUUUAAUGAGUGUUUGCCAAACCUUCCCAAGGUUAGGAAAACUAAAGAGAGGUGCAAUAAGGUGAAUAUCGGGAGGUCAGAAGCGGCAGUUAAUGCUCCGUAACAG